CCCCUGAUCGCCCCAAAUCGCCGCCGCUGGCCCCGCACACACACCCCGAGCCCCGAGCCCCGAGCCCCGAGCCCCGAGCCCGAGCCCCGAGCCCCGAGCCCCGAGCCCCGAGCCCGAGCCCCGAGCCGGUGCCGGCGCUGUCCGAGCGCCCUCAGCUCUGCCGGCCCGGGCCGUGCCCAUCCCGAGCAGAGCGCACCGCUGACAGGACACGCGGUUGCUGAGCCCUCAGAAAAUGACACCAAACAUAACAGCGUGGUGUUCACUCGGCAAAGGGCAAGCGUGUUAAUCUGUAUGUGCCCUGCUUACUACCCUCUGUAGGCCACUUAUUUUAAAUUUAUGAAUAUCAGCCCUUAUGGCAGCGCUUCAGAGGCUCUGGAUGUGCAGCUUCCAUUCAUGGCAAGGGAAUUUGGAAAAUCUCCACAGUGGCUUCUACUGUACAAGUGCAUACACUGUCCCAUUAUUCUUACAGCCAAAAUGAAUUUUAAUGGCUUUGGUGUAUCACAGGCUUGGUCACGCCUUUGAAAUUCCUCGUGUCUGUAUUCCUGAUGGGGAGAGAAGUCUGUCAGAUUCUAUUCAGUUAUGCCUUAUGAUGAUGAUAUUUUCCUGUGGAUAUCUGAGUACCAAACAUCAGCCCUGCAGGACACAGAGCAGUUCCAGUUUGGAGAGCUCCCCGCCACCAAGGGGGUGCACACCAGGUGGCUGGGACAGCACGUGUGAGUCACUCUCUGGAGUGUGGGACGUGUUUGUGUUUCCAGUGCCAUGGAAACUGUGUUUGCUCUCUGUAAGUAGAGCCCAGGCCGUGAAAGGACCAUUGAUCCCAGCAGAGACGGCGACUGCGUGUUCACCACCGAAAACUGCACACUCACCUGCCCUCUGCAAAAGAAAGCAGCCUUGGGAGUUAGCAAGGAGCAGCAGCCUUGGGAGCAGCAGGAUCUUCCCCGUUGCUUUCGUGAUGUCCCAGCUGUGGCUCUUCCCAGCCAGCCUGCUGCGUGGAGCUGUCACCAAUAAUGGUGACGAGGAGGAGGAUGGUCCUGUCCUGCCUCCAUCUGAGCUCACUUCAGUGCCCUCCUGCGGAAUGGACUGGGCUCCUCGUCAGGCACGUUCUUCACAAGGAUCAGGGAGAAUUGCCCAGAUUUCAGCUGGAAUCUCGAGUCCAUGGGGGAGCCAGCACAGGCACAUGCACGGUGCAGCUGCAGGUAAAAGCAAGCUGACCUGAGGGAUCGGGUCAGAGCAGCUAUUUCAGCUCUGCAGAGAGAAAUGCCACUAUUUCACUCCUGUUGUUUUCCAAAUAAAUAAUCAUCAUCCCAGUUUAAUCUUAGAUACCAAGAUUUGCUACACUAUUUUUUGCGCUCAUGUGAGCAGGAUCUAGGUCACAAGAACGCAGCGAGCCGAGAUGAAAUGCAGGAGAUGUUCAGCACAAGGCAGUGCACAAGGAGCUGCCCUGCUCCUUACUCCUGGCACUCCAGUGCAGGCAGAGCAAUGCCAGGAGCUGGAAUUUGGCUGGAGCAGCGUUAGAAGUUUUUAUUUUGGGGAUGGGCAUAGUGAGGCUGGGGCAUGUCAGAGCUUCACAUAUAAAGGCCACAAGUGCAGAGGCUGUAUGCACUAGAUUAAACUUAAUGGAAGAAACAGUCAUAUUUUCAGGGCUAUUUUAUCUCUUUAUGCACAAAUAUAAAACCAGCCAAAGUUCUGACAUUACAUCCUUACCUAUCGUGGCUGGGUGUUUCUGCCCCAGUGGGUUUAAACAAGGAUGGAUUCAAUUCAGGUCAUGCUGCAGCUGAAGUGGGAGGAAAUUCUGAAAGGUUUGUCGUCAGUGUGCAGAAAGUCAAAAGGAAGGAAAAUUCAGUGAUAACCACGCUUGUUAGUUCAGCAAAGAACAGUCAUGUGGGAGCCUGGAGAAACCAGAUCAAUGAACUGAAAGACAACAAAUGAGAUGAGCCUUCAGCUGUGAAGGGGUGAAUUUUCCCUCAAUCAGAAUGAACAAGGCUGUUCAUAGAAGUGGAAUACUCCACUCUGAAGGAGUAUUCUAAUUUUUGCCUAAGGAUCUCAGUUUUUCUUUUUGUCCUGAAAUAAACCAUGUAGCUUUCUGCUUCAGAGAGUUUUAUUCUUGGCUCUGCACUUUCUCGGAGAUCUGAUUUUCCAGUGCACUGCGCCAUCUGCUCAUGGUUUACACCACGACAGAGUGGAAGGAGUGCAGGGCCUGGCAUGAGGUGUCGGUGCUGCUUUGAACCAG
ensembl:lncRNA